rnacentral:rRNA from 1 species
GCAUAUCAAUAAGCGGAGGAAAAGAAACCAACAGGGAUUGCCUUAGUAACGGCGAGUGAAGCGGCAAUAGCUCAAAUUUGAAAGCUGGCGUCUUCGACGUCCGCGUUGUAAUUUGUAGAGGAUGCUUCGGCAAGGACUCCUGCCUAAGUCCCCUGGAACGGGGCGUCACAGAGGGUGAGAAUCCCGUAUGUGGCGGGCGGUCCAAGCCAUGUGAAGCUCCUUCGACGAGUCGAGUUGUUUGGGAAUGCAGCUCUAAAUGGGAGGUAAAUUUCUUCUAAAGCUAAAUAUUGGCCAGAGACCGAUAGCGCACAAGUAGAGUGAUCGAAAGAUGAAAAGCACUUUGGAAAGAGAGUUAAAAAGUACGUGAAAUUGUUGAAAGGGAAGCGCUUGCAACCAGACUCGCUCGCAGUUGCUCAGCCGGCCUCUUGGCCGGUGUACUCUUCUGCGAUCGGGCCAGCAUCAGUUCGGGCGGCCGGAUAAAGGUGUCGGGAAUGUAGCACCCUUCGGGGUGUGUUAUAGCCCGGCGCGGAAUGCGGCCAGCCUGGACUGAGGAUCUCGCUUCGGCAAGGAUGCUGGCGUAAUGGUUGUAAGCGGCCCGUCUUGAAACACGGACCAAGGAGUCUAACAUCUAUGCGAGUGUUUGGGUGUCAAACCCAUGCGCGUAAUGAAAGUGAACGGAGGUGGGAACCCUUCACGGGGUGCACCAUCGACCGAUCCUGAUGUCUUCGGAUGGAUUUGAGUAAGAGCAUAGCUGUUGGGACCCGAAAGAUGGUGAACUAUGCCUGAAUAGGGUGAAGCCAGAGGAAACUCUGGUGGAGGCUCGCAGCGGUUCUGACGUGCAAAUCGAUCGUCAAAUUUGGGUAUAGGGGCGAAAGACUAAUCGAACCAUCUAGUAGCUGGUUCCUGCCGA